AAAAAUGGCAAACCAAUAUAGUAUUUUUGGCAAGAAACUCCCAAAUGAGGUCAUGAAGAGUUGGACAUGACUAAGCAACAACAACUACUAUUGGACAUAUGCCCCCAAAAGAUCAAAGAUAGAAGAGGACUUAGUACAAAAUACAUUUAGAACAGGUUUUUUUUAAUAGUAGUCCCAAAUUAGAAACCAAGAGGGUCCCCAAUCAGUUUCUGUUGAGGAGUGACAAAACACAUUGUGGUAUAUAAAUCUCUACAGAGUUGACUGGACAGAUUUAUCCAGGAUGACACAGCCAGUAUGUGUCCGAAAUGGGGAACUGAACCUUUGUCUUUCUGCCAAUGAACUCCCUUCAAUCUCUACAGAAUCCUGGAGUGACUUUUUACCUGGAAUCACAAGAUUACAGAAGAGACUAAGGUAUAUAUGAUGAUAAUGUUCAGAGUGAGAGUUAUCAAGUCAAAAGUACAAGUCCAUAAAAGUUGGGCUUCAUCACUCUUCUAUCAACAAACGUACAGUGCUGCUCUGAAUGGUCCUCACGGUGGUGGUUGUUCGGGGGGGAGAGGAAGACCUCAGAGACACACAUUCAUCAUCCUGGGAACAGCCCUUCUCAAUGGCCCUCA